GAUGAACGCUGGCGGCGUGCCUAAUACAUGCAAGUCGAGCGAACGGACGAGAAGCUUGCUUCUCUGAUGUUAGCGGCGGACGGGUGAGUAACACGUGGAUAACCUACCUAUAAGACUGGGAUAACUUCGGGAAACCGGAGCUAAUACCGGAUAAUAUUUUGAACCGCAUGGUUCAAAAGUGAAAGACGUUCUUGCUGUCACUUAUAGAUGGAUCCGCGCUGCAUUAGCUAGUUGGUAAGGUAACGGCUUACCAAGGCAACGAUGCAUAGCCGACCUGAGAGGGUGCUCGGCCACACUGGAACUGAGACACGGUCCAGACUCCUACGGGAGGCAGCAGUAGGGAAUCUUCCGCAAUGGGCGAAAGCCUGACGGAGCAACGCCGCGUGAGUGAUGAAGGUCUUCGGAUCGUAAAACUCUGUUAUUAGGGAAGAACAUAUGUGUAAGUAACUGUGCACAUCUUGACGGUACCUAAUCAGAAAGCCACGGCUAACAACGAG
rnacentral:rRNA from 1 species